rnacentral:rRNA from 1 species
CCUACGGGUGGCAGCAGUGAGGAAUAUUGGUCAAUGGCCGGAAGGCUGAACCAGCCAUGCCGCGUGAAGGUCAGUGCCCUAUGGGCGUUAAACUUCUUUUGUGCGGGAGCAAUAAUGGUCACGUGUUGCCAGACGAGCGUACCGUACGACUCAGCAUCGGCUAACUCCGUUCCAGCAGCCGCGGUAAUACGGGGGAUGCAAUCGUUAUCCGGAUUUACUGGGUGUAAAAGGGGCGCAGACGGCGAUGCAAGCCAGGAGUGAAAGCCCGGGGGCGAACCCCGGGACCGCACUUGGAACUGCGUGGAUAGAGUGCAGGAGGGGCAGGCGGAAUUCGUGGGGUAGCGGUGAAAUGCGUAGAUAUCAGGAGGAACACCGGUGGCGAAGGCGGCCUGCUGGACUGCAACUGACGUUGAGGCCCGAAAGCGUGGGGAGCAAACAGGAUUAGAUACCCCUGUAGUC